CAGUGGGGAAUCUUGCGCAAUGGGGGAAACCUUGACGCAGCAACGCCGCGUGGGUGAUGAAGGCCUUCGGGUCGUAAAGCCCUGUCAGGUGGGAAGAAACUUGUGGAUGUUAAUACCAUCCGCACUUGACGGUACCACCGGAGGAAGCACCGGCUAACUCCGUGCCAGCAGCCGCGGUAAUACGGAGGGUGCAAGCGUUGUUCGGAAUUAUUGGGCGUAAAGCGCGUGUAGGCGGUCAGGUAAGUCAGAUGUGAAAGCCUUCUGCUUAACAGAAGAAGUGCAUUUGAAACUGCUUGGCUAGAGUACGGGAGAGGAGAGUGGAAUUCCCGGUGUAGAGGUGAAAUUCGUAGAUAUCGGGAGGAACACCAGUGGCGAAGGCGGCUCUCUGGUCCGAUACUGACGCUGAGACGCGAAAGCGUGGGGAGCAAACAGGAUUAGA
rnacentral:rRNA from 1 species